rnacentral:rRNA from 1 species
UUGAAGAGUUUGAUCAUGGCUCAGAUUGAACGCUGGCGGCAGGCCUAACACAUGCAAGUCGAACGGUAACAGGAAGCAGCUUGCUGCUUUGCUGACGAGUGGCGGACGGGUGAGUAAUGUCUGGGAAACUGCCUGAUGGAGGGGGAUAACUACUGGAAACGGUAGCUAAUACCGCAUAACGUCGCAAGACCAAAGAGGGGGACCUUCGGGCCUCUUGCCAUCGGAUGUGCCCAGAUGGGAUUAGCUUGUUGGUGGGGUAACGGCUCACCAAGGCGACGAUCCCUAGCUGGUCUGAGAGGAUGACCAGCCACACUGGAACUGAGACACGGUCCAGACUCCUACGGGAGGCAGCAGUGGGGAAUAUUGCACAAUGGGCGCAAGCCUGAUGCAGCCAUGCCGCGUGUAUGAAGAAGGCCUUCGGGUUGUAAAGUACUUUCAGCGGGGAGGAAGGGAGUAAAGUUAAUACCUUUACUCAUUGACGUUACCCGCAGAAGAAGCACCGGCUAACUCCGUGCCAGCAGCCGCGGUAAUACGGAGGGUGCAAGCGUUAAUCGGAAUUACUGGGCGUAAAGCGCACGCAGGCGGUUUGUUAAGUCAGAUGUGAAAUCCCCGGGCUCAACCUGGGAACUGCAUCUGAUACUGGCAAGCUUGAGUCUCGUAGAGGGGGGUAGAAUUCCAGGUGUAGCGGUGAAAUGCGUAGAGAUCUGGAGGAAUACCGGUGGCGAAGGCGGCCCCCUGGACGAAGACUGACGCUCAGGUGCGAAAGCGUGGGGAGCAAACAGGAUUAGAUACCCUGGUAGUCCACGCCGUAAACGAUGUCGACUUGGAGGUUGUGCCCUUGAGGCGUGGCUUCCGGAGCUAACGCGUUAAGUCGACCGCCUGGGGAGUACGGCCGCAAGGUUAAAACUCAAAUGAAUUGACGGGGGCCCGCACAAGCGGUGGAGCAUGUGGUUUAAUUCGAUGCAACGCGAAGAACCUUACCUGGUCUUGACAUCCACGGAAGUUUUCAGAGAUGAGAAUGUGCCUUCGGGAACCGUGAGACAGGUGCUGCAUGGCUGUCGUCAGCUCGUGUUGUGAAAUGUUGGGUUAAGUCCCGCAACGAGCGCAACCCUUAUCCUUUGUUGCCAGCGGUCCGGCCGGGAACUCAAAGGAGACUGCCAGUGAUAAACUGGAGGAAGGUGGGGAUGACGUCAAGUCAUCAUGGCCCUUACGACCAGGGCUACACACGUGCUACAAUGGCGCAUACAAAGAGAAGCGACCUCGCGAGAGCAAGCGGACCUCAUAAAGUGCGUCGUAGUCCGGAUUGGAGUCUGCAACUCGACUCCAUGAAGUCGGAAUCGCUAGUAAUCGUGGAUCAGAAUGCCACGGUGAAUACGUUCCCGGGCCUUGUACACACCGCCCGUCACACCAUGGGAGUGGGUUGCAAAAGAAGUAGGUAGCUUAACCUUCGGGAGGGCGCUUACCACUUUGUGAUUCAUGACUGGGGUGAAGUCGUAACAAGGUAACCGUAGGGGAACCUGCGGUUGGAUCACCUCCUU